GUGUCAGCAGCCGCGGUAAGACGAACCGUGCGAACGUUAUUCGGAAUCACUGGGCUUAAAGCGCGUGUAGGCGGGCCGGCACGUCGGUCGCUGAAAUCCCCCGGCUCAACCGGGGAAGGGGCGCCGAUACGACCGGCCUGGAGGGGCGUAGGGGGACCGGGAACUUCCGGUGGAGCGGUGAAAUGCGUUGAGAUCGGAAGGAACGCCCGCGGCGAAAGCGCGGUCCUGGACGCCUGCUGACGCUGAGACGCGAAAGCCAGGGGAGCGAACGGGAUUAGAUACCCCUGUAGUCC
rnacentral:rRNA from 1 species